UGGGGAAUAUUGGACAAUGGGCGAAAGCCUGAUCCAGCCAUGCCGCGUGUGUGAAGAAGGUCUUCGGAUUGUAAAGCACUUUAAGUUGGGAGGAAGGGCAGUAAGCGAAUACCUUGCUGUUUUGACGUUACCGACAGAAUAAGCACCGGCUAACUCUGUGCCAGCAGCCGCGGUAAUACAGAGGGUGCAAGCGUUAAUCGGAAUUACUGGGCGUAAAGCGCGCGUAGGUGGUUCGUUAAGUUGAAUGUGAAAGCCCCGGGCUCAACCUGGGAACUGCAUCCAAAACUGGCGGGCUAGAGUAGGGCAGAGGGUGGUGGAAUGUCCUGUGUAGCGGUGAAAUGCGUAGAGAUAGGAAGGAACGCCAGUGGCGAAGGCGACCACCUGGGCUCAUACUGACACUGAGGUGCGAAAGCGUGGGGAGCAAACAGG
rnacentral:rRNA from 1 species